rnacentral:rRNA from 1 species
CACGUAGGAGGCGAGCGUUGUCCGGAAUUAUUGGGCGUAAAGAGCUCGUAGGCGGUUCGGUAAGUCGGGUGUGAAAACUUUGGGCUCAACCCAAAGCCUGCACUCGAUACUGCUGUGACUUGAGUCCGGGUAGGGGAGUGGGGAAUUCCUGGUGUAGCGGUGGAAUGCGCAGAUAUCAGGAGGAACACCGGUGGCGAAGGCGCCACUCUGGGCCGGUACUGACGCUGAGGAGCGAAAGCGUGGGGAGCGAACAGG